rnacentral:rRNA from 1 species
AGGGAGCGCUGGCGGCGUGGUUUAGGCAUGCAAGUCGGGCGGCAGCGGGAAAGUAGCUUGCUACUUUUGCCGGCGAGCGGCGGACGGGUGAGUAAUGCCUGGGGAUCUGCCCAGUCGAGGGGGAUAACUACUGGAAACGGUAGCUAAUACCGCAUACGCCCUACGGGGGAAAGCAGGGGACCUUCGGGCCUUGCGCGAUUGGAUGAACCCAGGUGGGAUUAGCUAGUUGGUGAGGUAAUGGCUCACCAAGGCGACGAUCCCUAGCUGGUCUGGGAUGAUGAUCGGCCACACGGGAACUGAGACACAGCCCAGACUCGUACGGGAGGGAGCAGUGGGGAAUAUUGCACAAUGGGGGAAACCCUGAUGCAGCCAUGCCGCGUGUGUGAAGAAGGCCUUCGGGUUGUAAAGCACUUUCAGCGAGGAGGAAAGGUUGGUAGCUAAUAACUGCCAGCUGUGACGUUACUCGCAGAAGAAGCACCGGCUAACUCCGUGCCAGCAGCCGCCGUAA